rnacentral:rRNA from 1 species
CUCUGUGACUCCUACGGGAGGCAUCAGUGGGAAUAUUGCACAAUGGGCGCAAGCCUGAUGCAGCCAUGCCGCGUGUAUGAAGAAGGCCUUCGGGUUGUAAAGUACUUUCAGCAGUGAGGAAGGUGGUGCAGUUAAUAGCUGUAUCAUUUGACGUUAGCUGCAGAAGAAGCACCGGCUAACUCCGUGCCAGCAGCCGCGGUAAUACGGAGGGUGCGAGCGUUAAUCGGAAUUACUGGGCGUAAAGCGCAUGCAGGUGGUUUGUUAAGUCAGAUGUGAAAGCCCCGGGGCUCAACCUCGGAAUUGCAUUUGAAACUGGCAGACUAGAGUACUGUAGAGGGGGUAGAAUUUCAGGUGUAGCGGUGAAAUGCGUAGAGAUCUGAAGGAAUACCGGUGGCGAAGGCGGCCCCCUGGACAGAUACUGACACUCAGAUGCGAAAGCGUGGGGAGCAAACAGGAUUAGAUACCCUGGUAG